UGACGGGGCCCGCACAAGCGGAGGAGCAUGUGGUUUAAUCGAUGAUACGCGAGGAACCUUACCUGGGCUCGAACGUAAGAUGACUGUAGGUGAAAGCUUACAUCUCUUCGGAGCAUUUUACGAGGUGCUGCAUGGUUGUCGUCAGCUCGUGCCGUGAGGUGUCGGGUUAAGUCCCAUAACGAGCGCAACCCCUACCUUUAGUUGCCAUCAGGUAAUGCUGGGGACUCUAAAGGAACUGCCUACGCAAGUAGUGAGGAAGGCGGGGAUGACGUCAAAUCAGCACGGCCCUUACGUCCAGGGCUACACACGUGCUACAAUGGCCGAUACAGAGGGCAGCUACCUGGUGACAGGAUGCAAAUCUCCAAAGUCGGUCUCAGUUCGGAUCGGAGUCUGCAACCCGACUCCGUGAAGUUGGAUUCGCUAGUAAUCGCGCAUCAGCCAUGGCGCGGUGAAUACGUUCCCGGGCCUU
rnacentral:rRNA from 1 species